GACGAACGCUGGCGGCGUGCUUAACACAUGCAAGUCGAACGGAAAGGCCCUGCUUUUGUGGGGUGCUCGAGUGGCGAACGGGUGAGUAACCCGUGAGUAACCUGCCCUUGACUUUGGGAUAACUUCAGGAAACUGGGGCUAAUACCGGAUAGGAGCUCCUGCUGCAUGGUGGGGGUUGGAAAGUUUCGGCGGUUGGGGAUGGACUCGCGGCUUAUCAGCUUGUUGGUGGGGUAGUGGCUUACCAAGGCUUUGACGGGUAGCCGGCCUGAGAGGGUGACCGGCCACAUUGGGACUGAGAUACGGCCCAGACUCCUACGGGAGGCAGCAGUGGGGAAUAGUGCACUAGGGGCGGAAGCCUGAUGCAGCAACGCCGCGUGCGGGAUGACGGCCUUCGGGUUGUAAACCGCUGUCGCCUGUGACGAAGCGUGAGUGACGGUAAUGGGUAAAGAAGCACCGGCUAACUACGUG
rnacentral:rRNA from 1 species